GGGAGAAAUAUCAAUCACCUCAGAUAUGCAGAUGACACCACUCUUAUGGCAGAGAUUGAAGAGGAACUAAGGAGUCUCUUGAUGAGGGUGAAAGAGGAGAGUGAAAAAGCUGGCUUAAAACAAAACAUUCAAAAAAACUAAGAUCAUGGCA